GGCAAGUCACAUGCAAGUACCUCCCUGUCUUACAGAUACAUUGUGAGGAUACAUUCAUUAAUGGUUGUGAAGUGAUCAGUUACUACAGGGAUGAAGUCAGUACAGAUGUGGCCUUCAGGAACACCGGCCAAGUGUCUCCACCAGAUAAGAAAGUGCCCCGGACGGAGCAAAGAAGACAUGGUCUGGGAGGUACUGCACUUCUUCAAUCCAGAGAGAAGGGAACGCAAGGAGUGGAGGGAAUCCGAAAGGCAGGACAGAAAAGAAAAUCAGGAGUUUGUUAAGGACACUACUGAGUGGAUGAUUAAAGUAACGGAGGAACAAAUGCAGAUGCUAAAGUCCUUAAUAAUGCUGUAGACUGAGCAGACGCAUGCCCGCCCUCCCCUGCAGCACAUUCAGAACUCUUUUCUAUGCCCCUCCCAACUCCACCCACACAGUCCUUUCCACCUGCCAGGACUUCUCAGUUUCAUCUUCACUCCACCCACUUGGUCAACUUUCACAAUGAUACCUGGACCUACACACAGCUCUGAAAGUCUGCCCUUGCCUGGUACCUCUUUCCCAUCAAGUAUCUUUGUGCGUGUUUGAGUUGUUUCUUGUGCAAUAAAAACAAAGUUUUUUAA